rnacentral:rRNA from 1 species
UACGAAGGGGGCUAGCGUUGCUCGGAAUCACUGGGCGUAAAGCGCACGUAGGCGGACUCUUAAGUCGGUGGUGAAAUCCUGGAGCUCAACUCCAGAACUGCCUUCGAUACUGAGAGUCUCGGACCGGGAGAGGUGAGUGGAACUGCGAGUGUAGAGGUGAAAUUCGUAGAUAUUCGCAAGAACACCAGUGGCGAAGGCGGCUCACUGGCCCGGUACUGACGCUGAGGUGCGAAAGCGUGGGGAGCAAACAGG